GACGAACGCUGGCGGCGUGCUUAACACAUGCAAGUCGAACGAGUGGCGAACGGGUGAGUAAUACGUGAGUAACCUGCCCUCUUUUUGGGAUAAGCCUUGGAAACGGGGUCUAAUACCGGAUAACGGUGGAUGGGCUCGCGGCUUAUCAGCUUGUUGGUGGGGUGAUGGCCUACCAAGGUGGUGGCGGGUAGCCGGCCUGAGAGAGUGACCGGCGACAUUGGGACGGAGGUACGGCCCAGACUCCUACGGGAUGGAGCAGUGGGGGAUAUUGCACAAUGGGCGAAAGCCUGAUGCAGCGACGCCGCGUGGGGGUUUAGGGCUUUCGGGUUGUAAACCUCUAUCGCUAUCGAACGGGUAGGUAGAGAAGAAGCGCCGGCUAACUACGUGCCAGCAGCCGCGGUAAUAC
rnacentral:rRNA from 1 species